GCUAAAGCAAAGCAUAUUUUAAAAAUAUAUAAUGUAAAAUUAAAUAAAUAAAAUUAAUAACUAUAUUUCCUAAAAAAAAAAUUAAUAACUAUUUAAAUAACAUGGGCAUGGGUAUUAAUCUCACAACGCAAUUGCUGAUAUAGCAAACAGAGCCCAUGAUGGAAGGGAGGUAGAGCAUAAGCAACAUACAUGACGAGCCCUCAAAUAUCCGCCGCGAGUAAUCACCGCCAAACACCUCCAGUCGCUUGCUCUAUCAGCGCCAGGUACUCUUCUUCUUCUUCUUGUGGUUCACUUUAGGUUUUUAUUUUUAUUUUCUUUUUUU
rnacentral:misc_RNA from 1 species